rnacentral:rRNA from 1 species
UACGAGGGGUGCAAGCGUUGCUCGGAACUAUUGGGCGUAAAGGGUAGGUAGGUGGUCUCAUUUGUCUCAUGUGAAAUCCUUGGGCUUAACUCAAGAAGUGCGUGAGAAACGGUGAGACUGGAGUCUUGGAGAGGGUCGUGGAAUUCCCGGUGUAGCGGUGAAAUGCGCAGAUAUCAGGAAGAACACCCGUGGCUAAGGCGGCUCUCUAGUACGGUACUGACGCUGAGACGCGAAAGCGUGGGUAGCAAACAGG